AUCCAGUUGACGAGUCCCUAAUGGGACGAAAUGCUCAUCUGGGAU
rnacentral:hammerhead_ribozyme from 1 species